rnacentral:rRNA from 1 species
UACGGUGGGGGCAAGCGUUGUUCGGAAUUACUGGGCGUAAAGGGCUCGUAGGCGGCCAACUAAGUCAGACGUGAAAUCCCUCGGCUUAACCGGGGAACUGCGUCUGAUACUGGAUGGCUUGAAUCCGGGAGAGGGAUGCGGAAUUCCAGGUGUAGCGGUGAAAUGCGUAGAUAUCAGGAGGAACACCGGUGGCGAAGGCGGGUCUCUGGGCCGAUACUGACGCUGAGGAGCGAAAGAGUGGGGAGCAAACAGG